GUUUGCUAAAAUGGUGUGUGAUACCAAACAGAGGAAGCUGAGCACCCGCAGUAAGAUGGUAGCACUAUUUGCAUUUCCUUGUGAGUAAACAAAUUUUGAUUAUAAGGCAGAUUAAUUAGUAUAUGUAUGUAAGUGUAACAAAACAACUUUUCACCAUCAAGUAUUUUCUGGUCUUUCUUUUUGCUGCACAGAUGCUGACCCAAGGGGAUAAAACUAGAAGGCUAAUGAUCUUGGAGAGGCUGGAGAUGUGGGAGAUUUGACUUGUGACGUAACUGUACCUGUGAUGAGUAUUUUGAGUUAAUCUUAGGUAGUUCGAAGAGACAAAGCUAGUUACAAUUAAUUUCAAGUCUCCUUCUCAAUGGUAUUCAGCACACAUGGGAAGAUAUGAGUAAUGGAUAAUGUGGUGGUCUUCCUGAGGAGGCCAAGAAGAUAACAUUAAAUAAAGUCAGGUUGAUAAGUUUAUGCUGUUAAAAACAGACGAACAAAAACACAAUAAAACAAACAACUGCCAUGAACACAAAACCAACCAACCAAAAAAAAAAAAAAUGCCAUUGAGAAGGAGAAACUCUUUUCAUGAACCAUACAUACUGGAAUACCUGAUCAUUUACCAGCUGCACGUUGAAGUCCAAGGUAAAAGUUAACAAGAAAAUUUGGAAUUUAAAACAGAAGUCGCAGCUGAGAUGCUUUAUGUCAUUUCUAUGAAUGUUUCAUGUUUGACUUUUCAGUCACUGUAAAAAGCCAAGACUUGCAGCAAAACCAUGGAAGGGCAUCCAAGUGCCAGGUCAUUUUGGGGAAGUUCUAUAUCUGAGUGACAGUGUGCCUCAAAGAUGUGAGGUUCCACAAGUUAUUCUCACAUCCCCUUAUGUAUUGUUAUGAUACCCUUGUGGAGGGUAGUUAGGUGCUCUGAUAUUUGGCUUUAAAUUGAUAUUUGGCUUCCAACACUUCUGUGUUGGAAGACCCACAUGAAGGAGAUGGAAUUUUUGAGGCUGUUUUCGUGGAUGCCUUUUAGUGAGUGAGGAACACUUGACAUGACAGGUCCUUUAAAAGCUGUGUGUUUCUUAGGCAGUUUGUUCCUCCAGGCUUCUUUGUAUGAAUGCAAUAU
ensembl:lncRNA